GACGAACGCUGGCGGCGUGCUUAACACAUGCAAGUCGAACGGAAAGGCCCUGCUUUUGUGGGGUGCUCGAGUGGCGAACGGGUGUGUAACACGUGAGUAACUUGCCCUUGACUUUGGGAUAACUUCAGGAAACUGGGGCUAAUACCGGAUAGGAGCUCCUGCUGCAUGGUGGGGGUUGGAAAGUUUCGGCGGUUGGGGAUGGACUCGCGGCUUAUCAGCUUGUUGGUGGGGUAGUGGCUUACCAAGGCUUUGACGGGUAGCCGGCCUGAGAGGGUGACCGGCCACGUUAGAACUGAGAGAAGGCCCAGUAUCCUACGGGAGGCAGCAGUGGGGAAUAUUGCACAAUGGGCGGAAGCCUGAUGCAGCAACGCCGCGUGCGGGAUGACGGCCUUCGGUUUGUAAACCGCUUUCGCCUGUGACGAAGCGUGAGUGACGGUAAUGGGUAAAGAAGCACCGGCUAACUACGUG
rnacentral:rRNA from 1 species